AGAGGAAUUUUUUGUAAUUUAACCUUUUAUUUUUUAAAAAAAAAUUCAACAACACAAACGGCCAAUUUUUGGCUCUUUGAUGAGAAAAUAAAAAAUAUACAUUUCUUUUUGAAAUAUACUAAAAGCAAUGCUCGUAUCUACCGAUUCCACUCUCCAGAUAAAAAGCAAAAGUGCAUUCUCUUAAAUUUAUAUUAUAUAAAAAUAUAGUAACAUAGUUUUUUAAAAUAUUAUUUUAGUAUGAAAUUAUCAUAUUAUUUUUUAUUAGAUUCGAUAAGUUAAUUUGCAUUACACGUCGAAAAGUAAAAUAAGAGAGCGAUGUUGAAAGAGAGGGUUCAGCUACUCACAAAUCCUGAGAGGGUGGAAGAUGGAUAACGUGCAGUCCAGCGAAUCAGAAAGGAAUUUUUCAAAUUCAAUACCAUUCAAUUCCAACCUCCCAACAAAGCAAUCAACCACAACUUGAUAGCUAUCCCUCUUUGAUCAUAUAACAAGUGUUACAGUACAAGGAUAAAAUGGUAACGCAUCAAAGUUAAGAGCUUAAUCAUACAUUCUCUCAAAAUAAUUCUCAAAACACUUGCACAAAAUAAACUUGAGUUGUAAAUAAAUUUUAAUUAAAUUGAAAAAGAUUGUAAUAGUUAGAUUUUUGUUAUUUUUCUAUCUUUUUUUUUUUUUCCUUUCGUAAUUUGACUUUGAUACUACUCGGGACGAAACCGAACAACAAAAGUGAGCAUUUACAGACAACAAUAACUUCCAAACCCCCAUCAAAACUGAGUCAAUUAGUAGUUUUUUUUUUUUUUUUUUUUUCAAAAGUAGAAGUUCACAGUAAUAUCCAUUUAUUAGUUGAAGUGUCAAGUAAAGAACAAAAGUAGCACAAAGAAGAGAGUUGUAUCCAUCAUUUAUCUUAGAGAAAAUAAUCAAUUAAAAAAAAGAAAAAAAAAAAUAAAACAGAGAAGUGCUACCUAGCAUGGGAAAGCUAAGUAUUUUUUAUAAGAUAUCAACUUGGUAUGAAUGAUAACAAAUAUAUACUUCUCAUAGAAUAAACAAAAAAGACACCAAAAAACAUGGGCAGCAAAACUGUAGCUUAUUAAGAUAAUUUAGCACCUCUGAUAGGAAUAAAAGCACCAUUAGUUAAGAGGAAAACAAACAAACUCAACUUGUUCCUCCCUAACCAUUUAUGUAUAGAUCGCGAGACGAAUAGAGCUCAUAAGAAAAGCUAUGGAAUGUGCGUGCAACCGGGCCUCGACACAAUCGACUGAAUUUAGGAAUCUUUUCUCACGACGUCGUGAUAGCUUGAGGUGUAAUAUGCAAUUAUCAUAAAAUAUCAUAAUUAUAUGUUAUUGUUGUUUACUUCUUAGCCAUGAAAAGUGAAAAUGCAAUGCAGAGAGACGAAGAAAUCUUAAGCAGCACGGAGAAAGAAAUUCUAGAAGUUUUUGAGGGAUUUUGAUUCUGAAGUUGUAGAGCAAAAAUGUAAUCAAUUUGCUUCCCUGUUAGCUUUGCUUAUCUAGUAUAUACUCUGGAAAACUCAACAUCCAGGAUCUAUAAAGAUUAUGCAAUUAUUACCAAAAUUACGCUUCAGUUCACAAAGAAAAGCCAACAAAAUAACUUCAUAAAAAAUUAUAACGAAAAGCAAAGACUACGGAUCUUCACACCUGAGAUUGUAAUAUUGAGGGUCUUCUCUAGACAUAUAUCAAGACACAUCAGGGUAGUGUAGCUGUAGGAUAUAACUGAACCCAGGCAAAUUCCUCUUUGUAACCCAUGCUGAUUUCGCAGGAUU
rnacentral:lncRNA from 1 species